rnacentral:tRNA from 1 species
UGGGGGAUAGCUCAGUGGUGAAGCGCUUGCCUAACAUGCAGGACACCCUGGGUUCAGGCCCCAGCACUGCAA